CGAGUGCGUUGAACAGCUGCGGGCAAAGUCCGAAAGGCUUUGUGCGAGGAAAGUCCGGGCUUCACAGAGCAAAAAUAACGGCUAACGGCCGCCGGAGGCGACUCCAGGGAUAGUGCAACAGAAAAUUACCGCCGAUUUAUCGGUAAGGAUGGAAAGGUGAGGUAAGAGCUCACCGGAGGCAGGGAGACCUGUCUGCCGUGUAAACCCUAUUUGAAGCAACACCGUGGUAGGACAUAUACGCUUGCUCGGCGUGUCCUUAGGAGGUGGCAUCGAGCAGUUACGGCAACGGGCUGCCAAGAUAGAUGGCUGUUCACGACAGAACCCGGCUUACAGACGCAGUCGCACA
rnacentral:RNase_P_RNA from 1 species